UAUUAUGAGAGUUUGAUCCUGGCUCAGGACGAACGCUGGCGGCGUGCCUAAUACAUGCAAGUCGAACGCUUCUUUCCUCCCGAGUGCUUGCACUCAAUUGGAAAGAGGAGUGGCGGACGGGUGAGUAACACGUGGGUAACCUACCCAUCAGAGGGGGAUAACACUUGGAAACAGGUGCUAAUACCGCAUAACAGUUUAUGCCGCAUGGCAUAAGAGUGAAAGGCGCUUUCGGGUGUCGCUGAUGGAUGGACCCGCGGUGCAUUAGCUAGUUGGUGAGGUAACGGCUCACCAAGGCCACGAUGCAUAGCCGACCUGAGAGGGUGAUCGGCCACACUGGGACUGAGACACGGCCCAGACUCCUACGGGAGGCAGCAGUAGGGAAUCUUCGGCAAUGGACG
rnacentral:rRNA from 1 species